CGGGGUGUGGCGCAGUUUGGUAGCGCACCUGCUUUGGGAGCAGGGGGCCGCAGGUUCAAAUCCUGUCACCCCGACCA
rnacentral:tRNA from 1 species